UCAGAGACGUGCCUCUGUUAUUGAUCAUAUCGUUUACACAUGCACAAACAGCUGUUAAAUACAGAAAAUGCCAACUCGAAAUAAUUUCACUCCCAUCACUUUGGCGCUCCUAUGCGCCGCAUAUAAUGCAUACCCACUUUUUUGCGCCACAAACAAGACAUAAAAAAUGGGUAUGCUCAACACGCGGACAACAAAAUCUACCCGCGGCAGUACGUCAAAAGUAGCCCAAUUCCGCGGUAAAACCGCGUACCUGGCAACCCUGCUUCGCCGCUUUUUUGGGCGGAUGAUCUCUGCAACGAAAUGCAUUAGUUUUGUUUAUUAUCAUGUACAUUGUUAUUGGGUUUUUUGACGGGCGGGCAGUAAAAGUCAGUUAUGUACCCGUGUGCCAAAGGUACACAAAACGAAGUUACCCCACGUAAGUUAAUGUGCACCCCCUUCCAGACCGGGACUGCAUCAGUGCGGGCGGAGAGAGGACUGAAAGCCGUAGACUGUCAACAUGUGAAAAGAAAAAGAGCAUCAUUGAAGCAAAAUACCCACAAAGUAAUCGUUUGAAGGUAAGUUAAACAUUUACGUACAGUUGCCGUUUAUAAUUACAUGCGUUUUGCAAAAUCACACGUUUUUUUACGUUACAACCCCGUUUUCCCAUCUGAAACUUGAGGGUCUGACUAAUACCUGAAAAAAUCAUUACCUUCCCUUGAGGUUCUAAUGCAAUGGAAAGGAUCACCGCUCCAGUAAGUAGGACCAACAAGAGGCCAGCUUUGCAAGGAGACAAUAAAUAAUCUGCUAAAAUCAUUUAUGUUUUCUGUACCGUACGAUAUUUUGCAAAAAAAAGGUAACUCUAUUGUAGCCAGAUGGGAGUAGAUAACAUUGUGUAUGAUAGACAACAUUAAAUAGAAUUUGAAUUUUAACCUAGCUAGCUAUGUCCCAGAAUCAGCGCUUUUAGCAUGUAGUUUCAUAAGUUUAUGGCUAGCAGUGUUAACAUUGUAAUCAAAUACAAUCUUAUCAGAGUUUAUAUUUGACAUCAGUUACACAUUUUUCCUAGUAUUGAUUAUUGUAUUAUUUGUCAGAUUGGCAAUUGCAGAUAUUCAGAAUAACGAACUGGUAGAAAAUGUAUUUGAAGUUAAGUGAAACAUUAUUCCUCCUAGUCAGAAUUCAAUUUAAGAUUUUAUUAAAUAUUUGCGAAUUUUAAGGGGCCUUUUUAUCAUUUAAAAGCUGACUAGAUAUUAAUUACAGAUAUAUGUAAUUGAAUUUGUCCCAGUCACAAUUAACAUUUCAGAUAUGUGGAAUUAUUUAUUUACUUAAACAUGUUUUGUGACAAAAUUUGGAACAUUUCCAGAUUCAUGUCAAGUGAGGACAUUCAAUACAAAUUAGAUAAAGCAAGAUUGAAUAUCUAUUUGUACACAUACAUCAUAUGUGCAUCUACCUAUGCAUACACAUGUUUGUUCAUACAGACAUGUCCCAUUAAAAACAAACAUUUACUUAUCUAGCUGAGAUGACAUGAUGUUUUUUCCUUGUUUUUACAGCUUUAGCAUGAUGGAAACUUGUUUGUGGUGGGGGGAUGGAAGUAAGCAAAACCAACUAAGACCUUACAGAAGAGGUGGAGGAAACAACUGAUGGCCAGCCACAAGAUGAGGAAGAGGUCCCUGUUCAACCAAAGAAGACAAAGAAAACUGUCAAAUGUUCACCAAGGAAACAAUGGUCAUUAACAGGGGCGUUGGAGUUGGCCAAACUUAAAGAACAAACCAAGAUGGAUCGACAGAAAAUUGAACACCUUGACGACCGCAUUAAAUACCUGGAGGAGGCCAACAGGGAGCUCAGAAAUGACAAGGACUUCCUGCAUGCCCAGAUUAAGGGGUCUUCUCAAGCACCUGCAUUUUCAGGAAUACCAGGCUCUAGAAAGACUGCUCAGGUUGUUUCUUCAUCGUCAUCAUCUCCUGCCCCCUCUUCAGACUUCACCUCCUCUUCAUCCUCCGAAGAAGAGGAGAAGAAGAAAAAGAAGAAGAGGAAGUCCAAGGGACACACUGAAUCUCACAGCCAUUCAAGAGGAAGGCAGAGGCAUUGAUCAUCUGUAAUCAGAGGGUUUCUUACCCUAAUGUUGGCCAGUAUUUACCUGUCACCUAUAGUUAGUAUUUGUAUAAAAAGCAGCAACUAAAACAGGCUUAGUUAAAAUUCUCAAAGAAGGCCUAAUUGCUCCUUCAUUAUGUCACUGUCCCACACUGAUUUUUAUAUUUCAGUAUUUUAAAAAAAUCACUCUGCUUUACCUUAUAUUAGAAUAUAUUAAUAUAUUAGAAUAUAUUUAUAACCCCUGAAGUAGAUUAGAAAGGAUUCAACUCACCUUGUGGGUUCAUUGUGCAUUGUCCACCCAGCUGAAAUGCUGAAAACAUUUUUUGGUUUUGUUUGUCUUUGCUAAGUGACAACAACCGAUGGAGUCAUCCGCCGCUAUGAAAAAGUCCUGAGGAAAUUUGCCAAGUGUGGCUCCAUGAAAAUCGCCUUCACCGAGAUGAACAUUGACCGCAACACAAUUGCGAGAACAGCUGUAAUUGCUGAGCUUGCAAUCACAUUUCCAGACGCCUUCCAGGAGCUGCUGCCCAGUGAAGAAGAUCACAAGAAGAUCUCUGAAUUUGCAGAGCACUGCAGGAGUGCUAUUACCAAUGAGAUGGCUGAAACAAUCACAGCAAAGAAAAAAAGGGGGAUGUAUAAUGUAUAAGUACACUUGAGGGAACAUACAUGAUCAGAGAUGUUGAGAGACAUUUUUUUUUUUUAAGAAAAGCAACACUUUUGUUUUUAUAGAGUGGCAACACUGGUAAGUUACGCCAUUAUAGUGGUGUCUUGGGAAGUUUUGCUUUAACCCAAGUACGGUUAAGAAUAUGUCGGGGCCCUCUUUGGAAGUAAUCCUGUGGGGGUUUUUUAUAGGUGUAAUAAAAGAAAAUACAUUUCUUGGCUUUGAUGUUACUUUUGAUAAGGUAUUAAUGUGGUUGGUGGCAGUGUGAUGGUCUGGGGCUGCUUUGCUGCUUCAGGACCUGGACCACUUGCUGUGACUGAUGGAACAAUGAAUUCUGCUGUCUACCAGAAAAUCUUGAAGGCCAACG